rnacentral:lncRNA from 1 species
ACCAGAAAUCAUUCUCUCCUUAUUCCAUAGUGAUAGAUGUUUGGCUGGGACUUGACUACUCAGACAGGCACCUCAUGUGCCAGCUCCCCUUGCAGCCAGUUUGUGGCCACGUUUUUUAAGCCGUCGUCAAUGGAGCUGAGCAGAAGAGAUGUACGCAGCUUUUGCCUUGCUUUCUUGAGACACAGCUAUCAUGGAUGCUGUUGGAGCCCCAGAGGCCCCCUUCACCAGGCUGCCAUAAUCAGCCUAGAGCUGUCCCCAUCCCCAGAGAUUUUGCCUGAGUCAAAUAUGAGCACACCCUGGGAGAGUAAGUACCUCUGUAGCAACUAGCAGCCGAUGACUGAUAUAGGAUAGUAAAAAAGGUCACAAAAGGUGGGGCCAAUUCUGUGAUUGAAAAAAGAGCUUCAGAACCUUCCCAAGGAACGAGGCUAUUGCUAGUCUCCAACCAAGAGCACUCCUUUGCUUACCUUUCUUCCACUGCUCUAUUCUGCAGUAGCUCACAGCUGUUCCCUUCCCCACAGCUGAUGGGAACCUCCUCAAAACCCUCUUGUCCCUCUUCCCUGCCAGGGUGGCCCACAACCAAUGACUGGCUGCUUUGGGGAUACAAAAGGCCAGCUGCCUUGCCUCAAGGGAGUGUAAUUCUGCUGUGGGACUUAUGCCACCAUAUAUGACAGUUCCCCGUGGAUCAGGCCAAGGCUAGAUGUGACCGAGACACACUUUGUAUGAUGCUUUCCCUUUCCUGUCUACUCCACUCUCUCCCUUGCAGGUUUUUCCUGAAAAAUACUUCCCAUCAAUAAAUGUCUGUCAGAUGGCCAGGUGUGGUGGCUCACGUCCGUAAUCUCAGCACUUUGGAAGGCUGAGGCGGGAGGACUGCUUGAGCUCAGGAGUUUGAGACCAGCCUGGGCAACAUAGCGAGACCUCAUCUCUACUAAAAUAAAAUAUUAGCUGGAUAUGAUGGAACACGCCUGUAGUCCUAGCUACUUGGGGAGCUGAUGCGGGAGGAUCGCUUGAGCCUGGGAAAUCGAGGCUGCAGUGAACCCUGAUUAGGCCACUGCACUCCAGCCUGAGCCACAGAGCGAGACCCUGUCUCAAAAAAAAAAAAUUCUGCCUCAAGGUCUGUUUCUAGGAAACCCAACUUCAGGCCACUGGUGUCAGUACUCUGCCAUCCUUUUCCCAAAUCACUUUCUCAUUCAUCUCUGGAGACUGUUCAGAUCCAUGCUCUGGGCUGUGCGUACCAUGGGACCUAAAUUGGGCUGAAAGUACAUGAAGGUGCUAGGUCAAAAACAACUGGGCUCUGUGGAAGUACUUGUAAGGAAUACCUACUUACUACAUAGGGUUGUUAUGAGGGUUUUAAAAGCUAAAUGAAUUCAAGUGUGUAAAACGCUGAGACCAAUGCCUGGCAUGGAGUAAAUGCUCUUAAGUAUUAGUGCAGGGAUUUCUGGGAUGUUUUUGUUUACUUAUGUAUUCCAAGUGUGCCUAGGUGAAUGCGUGGCACAUAGUAGGCACUCAACAAUACCUGUUGAAUCCAUGAUUGGUUUUGCUUUGAGGGCUUAAGGCGAUGUGCCGAGAUUUGGCCAGCAGAGGGCAGAACCUGGGAAGACAAAGCUCCUACAGGCUUUGACCUACAAGAGGUGGCAGGACAGGCUCCCAGACGACUGGGUUGGAGGGAGGGCUGCGUGAAGUGCCUAUACCAUAGGAUAUGGAUAGAGAUAGAGAUAGAGAUAUAGAGAUACAGAGAUACAGAGAUACAGAGAUACAGAUAUAUAGAUAUAU